rnacentral:rRNA from 1 species
CUAUACAUGACUCUGCGCAUAUCAAUAAGCGGAGGAAAAAGAAACUAACAAGGAUUCCCUUAGUAACGGCGAGUGAAGCGGGAAGAGCUCAAAUUUGAAAUCUUCAAGGUUUUACCUUGACGAAUUGUAGUUUAAAGAAGUGUUUUCUGUUGAGGUUUUGGUAAAAGUUCUUUGGAAUAGGACAUCAUAGAGGGUGAGAAUCCCGUAUUUGACCAUUAUUUUCAGCUUUGUGAUACACUUUCAAAGAGUCGGACUGUUUGGGAAUGCAGUCCAAAAUGGGUGGUAAAUUUCAUCUAAAGCUAGAUAUUGGCGAGAGACCGAUAGCGAACAAGUACCGUGAGGGAAAGAUGAAAAGAACUUUGAAAAGAGAGUUAAACAGUACGUGAAAUUGUCAAAAGGGAAGCGUUUGACACCAGUGUUGUUUUUCUGAAAAUCAAUUAAAGAACUGUUUAUGCUAAGUUGUUUAGACUUUAUCAGCUAACUGUUUAGUUUUGAGCUUUUCUUUAAUGCACUUUUCAGUUAACAAGUCAACAUCAAUUUCUUUUGCUGUAAAGAAGCUUGAGGAAGGUGGCUUGAGAUUCGUCUUAAGUGUUUAUAGCCUCUUGCCUAUGCAGUCGGAGAGAUUGAGGUCUGCAGCGUAGAUCCUUCGGGGCUAAAUGCAUUUGUGCUAAGUUAUAGCAUUUUAUAGACAACUUGUUGACUAUGAUUUGUCUUGUAGCUUACUCGCUUAUGUUAUUUUACCUACGCUUAGGAUGUUGACAGCAGUAUAGACUGU